rnacentral:rRNA from 1 species
UUCUGGCUCAGGAUGAACGCUAGCGGCAGGCCUAAUACAUGCAAGUCGAACGGUAAACGCCCCUUCGGGGCGUGAGAGUGGCGGACGGGUGCGUAACGCGUAUGCAACCCACCCCCGACGGGCGCACAGCCGGUGGAAACGCCGGGUAAUGCGCCAUGCGCACCGUGUGGGGGCAUCCCAUGCGGUGCAAGGCGGCGACGCGGUCGGGACGGGCAUGCGUCCCAUUAGAUGGUAGGCGGGGCGACGGCCCACCUAGUCGACGAUGGGUAGGGGAUCUGAGAGGACGGUCCCCCACACUGGUACUGAGACACGGACCAGACUCCUGCGGGAGGCAGCAGUAAGGGAUAUUGGUCAAUGGGCGGAAGCCUGAACCAGCCAUGCCCGCGUGAGGUAUGAAGGCCCUACGGGUCGUAAGCCUCUUUUACCCGGGGACAAGGGCGCGCACGUGAUGCGUGCUUGAGGGUACCGGGGGAAUAAGCGUCGGCUAACUCCGUGCCAGCCGCGGC